AGAGUUUGAUCCUGGCUCAGAAUGAACGCUGGCGGCGUGCCUAACACAUGCAAGUCGAACGAGAAAGCGGGCUUCGGCCCGUGAGUACAGUGGCAGACGGGUGAGUAACACGUGGGUAACCUGCCCGGAGGUGGGGGAUAACCCUUCGAAAGGAGGGCUAAUACCGCAUGAUAUCUCGAGGGCCUCGGCUUUCGAGAUCAAAGCUUGCCUCUACUCGUAAGCAAGCACCACCGGAGGGACCCGCGCCCCAUUAGCUUGAUGGUGAGGUAGUGGCUCACCAUGGCGACGAUGGGUAGCCGGCCUGAGAGGAUGAUCAGCCACACUGGGACUGAGACACGGCCCAGACUCCUACGGGAGGCAGCAGUGGGGAAUAUUGCACAAUGAGCGCAAGCUUGAUGCAGCAAUGCCGCGUGUGUGAAGAAGGCCUGCGGGUUGUAAAGCACUUUUAUCGGGAAAGAAAUCCUUGGGGUUAAUAACUCUAAGGCUUGACGUACCCGAAGAAUAAGACCGCUAACU
rnacentral:rRNA from 1 species